UAUCAGUCAUGCAUAGCAUAUCAAUAAGCGGAGGAAAAGAAACUAACAAGGAUUCCCCUAGUAACGGCGAGUGAAGCGGGAAGAGCUCAAAUUUGAAAUCUUAAAGGGUUUCCCUUUACGAAUUGUAGUUUAAAGAAGUGUUUUCUGUUGGAGUUUCGGUAAAAGUUCUUUGGAAUAGGACAUCAUAGAGGGUGAGAAUCCCGUAUUUGACCGUUACUUUCCAGCUGUGUGAUACACUUUCAAAGAGUCGGAUUGUUUGGGAAUGCAGUCCAAAAUGGGUGGUAAAUUUCAUCUAAAGCUAAAUAUUGGCGAGAGACCGAUAGCGAACAAGUACCGUGAGGGAAAGAUGAAAAGAACCUUGAAAAGAGAGUUAAACAGUACGUGAAAUUGUCAAAAGGGAAGCGUUUGACACCAGUGUUGUUUUUCCGAAAAUCAAUUACGAAUGUUUUGUUUUUGAGGAGUUAUGACUUCAUCGGCUUGCUUCUCUCUUUACGAAACUUUCUUAAUGCACUUUUCGGUUAACAAGUCAACAUCAAUUCCUUUUGUUGUAAAAAGGUAAGAGGAAGGUGGCUUGCGCUUCGGCUCAAGUGUUUAUAGCCUUGUACCCUCUGCAAUCGGAGAGACUGAGGUCUGCAGCGUAGAUCCUUCGGGGUUAGAUACAUUUGUGCUAAGCUACAGCUUUUCAUAGACAACUUGUUGACUAUGUUAAGUCUUGUCGACUUACUCGCUUAUGCUAUUUUACCUACGCUUAGGAUGUUGAUCUCUCACAGUCGAGC
rnacentral:rRNA from 1 species